AUGGCCAUGACGAUCAUCUCCCAGUCCAUCGACAACUCGACGCUGCUGCGAGUUGCGGAGAAGGAGACCGCAGCCGAUGUGCGGGCGGCGCUACGCUCCAUGCAUGUCGGUGUCGAGCGCGUCCGAGAGGCGAGGGUUCAACCCUUGUGCUCGGAAUUUGAUGGCCUCAAGAUGGGUGAUGCGGAGUCCGUGGAUGAUUUCGCGGCGAGGUUCACGACGCUCGUGGGGCGCAUCCGUGAGCUUGGUGAUGCGAUGGAGGAGAAGUACGUCGUGAAGAAGCUGCUCCGAGCCGUCUCCAACAAGUUCAUCCACGUUGCGUCAUCGAUUGCAUUGUUCGGCGACACCAACAAGAUGGCCAUGGAGGAGGCCAUUGGUUCACUCAAGGCGCACGAGGAGCUCGUCAAGGGGCGGGAGACGGCACGUGAAGAAGAGCAGCUCCUCAUGGCGAGAGGGCAUGACUCAUCGCGAGGACGUGGCCGUGGUGGCCGUGGCCAUGGCCGUGGUGGAGGGCGCAGAGACAAGAGCGAAGUACAAUGCUAUAAUUGUGAUGCCUUUGGGCAUUUUGCUUGGGAGUGUCCGGAGAAGAAGAAGGACAAUGAGGAGAAGGCACUGCUCGGCGUGGACGAGCCGGCUCUUCUCUGA
rnacentral:rRNA from 1 species